rnacentral:sRNA from 1 species
AGCAGCCGCGGUAAUUCCAGCUCCAAUAGCGUAUAUUAAAGUUGUUGCAGUUAAAAAGCUCGUAGUUGAAUUUCGGGGUCAGUAGAUUGGUCGUGCCACUGGUAUGUACUGGUCUUACUGGCUCCUCCUUCCUGAUGAACCGUAAUGCCAUUAAUUUGGUGUUGCGGGGAGACUGGACUGUUACUUUGAAAAAUUAGAGUGUUUAAAGCAGGCUAACGCUUGAAUACAUUAGCAUGGAAUAAUGAAAUAGGACGUUCGAUCUUAUUUUGUUGGUUUCUAAGAUUGACGUAAUGAUUAAUAGGGAUAGUUGGGGGCAUUAGUAUUCAAUUGUCAGAGGUGAAAUUCUUGGAUUUAUUGAAGACUAACUACUGCGAAAGCAUUUGCCAAGGAUGUUUUCAUUAAUCAAGAACG